GAUUCUGUGUGUUUGUUUUUCUAUCAUUUUCUUGGAAACCAAUCAUAGGGUUGCCGUAGCCAAUUAUCAGAGCGAGAGCGUUGAUUAUCAUCGAAUGACGCAAUUACUUGCAUUGAAGGUUGGCCUUGUACAAAUCAGCGAACAAGUUGCUGCCUUCACUUUCCCCUAUUCUCCCAACCCGUUUGGUUGCCGAGAAAGUAUAGGAAACCGGAAAAAGAAAAAGAAAAAAAAAAAAAAAAAAGAUUCAUGUGGUCAAUUGGGCUGUUUGGCUGCUAUUCAUGUUGGUUGUGCCUUAAAAAUGAUGCAUACUUUUGGCCUUUGCUUCCUCCUGUUUUCAAUGAACAUCGGUAAGAUCUAUCCACUCAUAGAAUAUUUUGAGAAUCAAAUGAAUUUUUAAAGGAACAUUUCGACGAAAGACACUCACUCGGAACCAGAGGUGAUGGUGGAAGCGAUGGAGACAUUGGAAGAUCUGGGACGGAGAGAAAGAGAAGGAAACUUCCCGGGUUGAAAGACAACAAGAGCAUGCAUUAAUAAGCACCAAAAAAGAGUUGGGGGCGCCUUACGUAUAUAGGUUGUAUACACAGAAACAAGCCAAACACACCUCAACCAAAGAAAGACCACAAACAAAACACAGCAAAGUUAACCACAAAAAAGAGUAUCAAGGAAAAUCAACAUAGAGGGGAAAUUCAGCUCCAAAGAAUCCCUAGUCCACUCAAAAAGAAUUCGAAAGAAGAGAUCCUUUAAACCCUGGUCAAAGAGAUAUUCAUCUUUGAAGGUUCUUCGAUUAUGCUCUUUCCAAACACAUCAAAAUAAACAAAUGGGAGCUAAGCGCCACAAUGCUCUAAUCUUCUUUUGCAACCCCUUAACUUUCCAUUGAAGAAGGAGAUUUAUUACUGAAUUUGGAAAUACCCAUGUCACUCCAAAGAAGGCUAAUAAAAAGGUUCAAAGCUUUCUUGUCUUGACGAAAUGAAUCAGAAUGUGAUUGACUAAUUCUUCACUCUCUUUACAUAGAUUACAUUUAUUGACUAUUUGUCAUCCCCUUUUCAUUAAGGUAUCUAUAAUUAGGAUCUUCCCCCAAAUAGCUUCCAAAGCAAAAAAGCAAGUUCUGAGAGGAGCAUGGGAUCCCCAAACCUCCUUCCCCGGAAAAACAAAAUUAUUCUCCCCACUUAGAGAACAAUAAUAAGACUUAACAUCUUCUUUCCAACAUAAAGUGUCCUCACCUUCUUGUACUUUUAACAAGUCAAGAGAACCCUAAAAGUGGGUCACCUCCUCUACCUCCCAAUCUUGGAAGGGUCUUCUAAAAUGAACCUCCCAACACCCCCUUCAUCCCCUUCUCUUUUCCAAGAUUUUGCAACUAUAGCAUUUUUAUGGGAAGUUAUCCUAAAAAUAGUAAGGUAAACAUCUUUUAGCUUGAAGUCCCCCACCCACGUGUCCCACCAAAAGCUUGUAUGACUACCAUUUCCUAUAUAGAUAGAAGUUCUAGCAAUAAACUCUUCCCACUCUUUUCUAAUGUCUUCCCAAAGGACUCCCUCCACAAUCUAGUAGUCCAACCCCCCUCCACCUCCCCGAACUUUCCACAAAUGAUCUUCCUCCACAAACUUUCACACUCAACAGAGAAUCUCCAUAGUCAUUUGCCUAACAAAGCUUGAUUGAGACUAUAUAGUCUUCUUAUCCCCAAACCUCCAAAAAAUUUUAACCUUACAAACAUCUGACCAUUUUACCAAGUAGAUCUUGCUCCUAUCUCCCCAUAAAAAGUCUCUUUGAAUUCUCUCUAAUAUAAUUCUCACUUUUCUAGGAAUAACUCUAACCAUUUUACCAAGUAGAUCUUGCUCCUAUCUCUCAAAUCUCCCUAUAAAAAGUCUCUUUGAAUUCUCUCUAAUCCAAUUCUCACUUUUCUAGGAAUAACAAAGAGGGACAUAAAAUAAACAGGGAGAUUUGAAAUAAUGCUCUUUAAAAGGACAAGUCUUCCUCCUUUGGAAAGGUAGUGUUUUUUCUACAGAUAAUUUCCUUUUAAACCUCUCCUCAAUAGAGUCCCAAACACCACAAUGUUUUUUUCCUCUACUUUCUCAACAACCAAACAGAAAAUAAGGCCUGCUUUUUAGGCUAUCGAAAUCCAAAAGGAAAUGUAACAAGAUAUCUUCUGAAAACCCAAAUCAUCUUACAUUCAAACCAUCAAUUCCUAGUACUGUAUCUUUAUUAUUAUACAUCAGUAAUUUGUAAAGAUAUCACCAUACACUCAAUUAACAAUAUGAAGAAAAAAAGAAAAGACUCGCCAAAUAUGAAAUUUAGAAGGUUGAGAAAACAAAAGAAAAGGGUAAAGAGAUCACACAAAUCGGUUAAAUGGCUUCCUCCCAACUGUAGCUGGCAAAGAAACGGUCGAAUCCACACUCAAAUUCCCAGUAGAUUGCAGAGACUGGUGCCUCUCUAUCACCCUCUGAGAGGUGGAAUCCUUGCUAGAGAACAAGGUGCCUUUGUUCCACUUGAAAGACCCAAUGCCUUGACCCAAAGGGAACGAAAGCCGCCUCUUUGAUUCAGCACUGGGAGUCACUGGAUACCUCUCCUUGGGGUUGCUGUUAGCUCUCACUUUGGCUUUAGCUGACACUGUUGGAGUCAUGUAGUUUGGAACUGAAAAUGGCGGGCAACUGGUGAGGCUAUCAUCAUCUCUCAGUGGCACAUCAAAGGUAGAAUCAGCUGCACUAGCUCUCGGCUUUGGAUAUCUUGAUAGAUUUGAGCCGUUCGCUUGUGGCACUCUAUUUGGAGGGGUCUUUGCUCUUGCAGGUACUGCUGAUUUUGAGGACUUUGGUGUGAGUGACUCAAGAUUGUCAAACCCGAAACUCUGUUGCCUGUAGUUGCUUGCUUGGGGUCGAGGACUUGGCCUGAGAUCUGGAGUCGGUCUUGUGGGUGUUAGUAGGAUGCUCUUGGUGGCUUGACUUUCAGGAGGAUUUGCCGGAGGGAGCUGACGUUCUAACCAGUUCCACCACCAUGGGAAUCCCCCAGAUCGGAUAUCCAUUAUAGAUGCUUGAGCUGAUUUAGGGGUGGCUUUCCACAACUGUCAACACAGGUUAGUGAAAUCAUAAAACGAUAUCAGAUAAUUGAAAAGGUAUAGAGAGUGCAGGAAUCUAUUCUGUGUAAGAACUGGAAAAGGGCAACCAGAACUAAAAUUUUACUUGAUUGGAUAAACAGUAUCCUAAUGUCCAGGCCUAAAAGUCAUUCGGGUUAGUGAAGCCUAUCCGACAUGAUAAAAUAAAAUAUGAACUGGGUAGCAUCUAUUAGAAAGAAUGAUAUACAUUAUGACUUGAACCUUAAAGCUUAAACUUGUGGGAAAAUUGGUUACCGGAUACAGUAUUAGAACCCCCUUUAAAGAAAGGUCAUAGACUCAAACUUCACAGCAACUUUUAUUUCCCUGAAUUUAUUGAGCUCUUUGCCUAUUGGACUAUUUGUUUCUCCACAUGCAAGCAUGAGACCGCAUGUGAGGGAGGGUGUUAGAAAAUGUUAUUUACAUUGUAUGCCCCAAUUGUAAAAACCUAAACUUGUCGAAAAAUUGAUUGUCCAAUAAUAUUAAUAGAGUAGUACCUGGUGGGAAUAUGCAUAGGCCAUGGCUCUUUCUCUCUUGAUGACUGCCUCCACCUUUUUCUGCAACCUAGCUUCUAUUUGCUCUUUCGUCAGCUGGCUAUCAUCCCAGUCUUCAUUGUUACCUGCCUCAGACUGUACAAAUGCCAUCCCAUCAUCAAUUGUACUAAUCUUAAUUGAAACACAGAACAAAAUCGAAAAACAAGCAUGAUUUCAUGUAGAUGAGUGUCUUCCCUUUGACUAUAGCGAUCAAAUGAUCCUUAAGCAUGUGCUCUUCUAAUAAUGAAAAACAAUCCAACACUAAAUCAAACAAAGGGAAACUUACUGGCUGGCUUGAGGCCCAUUUGCCUAUGCUGCUCUCCAGUUCCUUGUCAUUUUUGUAUUGAGAUUGACGUUGGAGUGCCUGGUUUUCUAACAUCUGGAUCCUCCGGGACUGAAUCUGUGACUGAACCCGCACUAACAGCUGCAUGCAUUUCAUUGCAUUUGUUGUCUGGCGCUUCACAUUCUGGCCUCUCACGACUCCCUGUAGCCUCACCAGACCCCUGAGUGCUCUGAAGCUCCUCCUUGCCUACAUUGAAAAAAUCACAUCAGUGAAUCAUUUCAUGGAGUAUAAAAAUCAAAGCCCAACUUCCAUGGGGAUGAUUUGCUUGAAUUUCUCCAACAAACAAGAAAGAGUGGAAGCUUACCAUAUAACCUCUGUAUGCUGUCUGGAUCCUGAUAGCUGCAAUAUGGUGAUUCCUGAGAGUUGGUUCGGGUCUGUAGCUGACUUCCUUGUGAUGAUGAAAAGCCCGAGGAGACGCAGCCCUUGGUGAAGCAGCAGCCCUCGGUGAUGCAACAGCCCUCGGUGAUGCAACAGCCCUCGGUGAAGCAGCAGCCCUCGGUGAAGCAGCAGCCCUUGGAGAAGUUACCCUCGGAGAGGAAACUCUAGGAGGCACAGGAGUUGGUACUUUUGGUGUCUCAGAAGGCGUUGGAGGCCUAAGAAAUAUCUUAUUUUGCUGCUCUCUUUCAGCAUCCCCUAAUAUUUUUUCAAUACUACUUGGCUCUCUGAAGAGCGGAAUAAAAGAAUGUGUAUCUCGCCCUUUCUUUUUCUUCUCUUUCGCAUUUUUCCUCUCUGUUCCCUACAACAAUUCAUAAUAAUUCCAAAAUCAAAUGACUUAUUACAA